AGACCACCUGGCGUCAGGUUCAGGGUGAUCAGGAUGCUCUGACCCCAAGUGUAUGUUCACCAUUGCACCUUGGUGGGUUGAAAGUCACGACGAACCUUAGUCGGGUAAGCUCGGGCGUGUAGGUUUUGUCAGUGGGGAGAUCUCACAGUCCCCC
rnacentral:snRNA from 11 species